ensembl:lncRNA
GCUAAAAUUUAAAGCUAACGUUGAAGUGGAUGAAUGCACUAGUUAACCCAUUUCUUGCUGUUCUUGACCUGUUUUAUUAGCAGAGGUGGAAAGUAACAAAGUACAAAUACUUCAAGACAAAAGAGUGUGAGACAAACUUCACUCAGAGAUGAAGGGAGGUGUAGGAUGACAGAGAGGCCACGAGAGAAAGAAGAGAGGUUAGAUUAAAAGGUUUGACUCUGCUGAGAUUUCCCUUAUAUACUUGGGUAAGUUUAAUUUUUAUUUUAUUUUUGGGGGGUUAGUAUAUUCAGGUAACUUAGACUACAUAGGGCAAGAGACAAAUUAAGCUCAUUCUAUUAUUUUCCUAAUGCAUAUGCAUAUCACAAAACUGCUGCUACUGUGAAGGAUUUUCACCAUGGUAAGGAUGUUGUGAAAACCUGCUGUUGUGACAGGCCUAAUGUCCAUCACACAUCUUCAAGAGAAAAUUGAAACCACCCUUGCACUUGCCUCUGUAACUGGACAGAAUUCCCUUUUUGGCUUAUGAUGUGACUGUUAAAGGUUUAUAGUUUCCUCUUUGUAUUGGGCGGGUCAUGGCUGUUAGUUUUACGAAGGGAAAAUGUCCUUAGAAAAUGUGUGCAGUGGCCACGGGUUUUUCUCUUGUUAAGGCCGCAUACUUAAUUUAGUUUUUCUACAGGUAUCCUAAGACAGUACUCAGUAGUAAGAGACAAGACAAUAGGUGCAGUUUACUGGCUUAUGGUUAACAGGAAGAAUUUUCCGUGUUUCUGUCCUGUGUGCAGAUUCUUGCCUUGCAUCUGCC